UCAAGAUCCAAUCGAAUCAAAUGGAAUCGAAUUGAAUCGUGGAUCGAAUUGAUUCGGGACCUUGUGAAUCGGAAUUGAAUCGAUUCUAGAAAUCAGUGACGAUACCCAGCCCUAAUCAUAUGCUCCUAUGUUUUCCUUUCAGAUGUUGAUAAACUGUAGCUGCUGCAGACCUCCAGACAAAGAGAAAGGUCUUCGAGAAGGUGAUGGCUGUGAGGUGCCUGAGAGAGGAGGAGAUGAUCCUUUGCAGGGAAAUGUGGCAUCACUGGACAGUGUUGUGAGUGCGAUCUGUGGUGUUGGGGACAAUCUCCUCAGACUCCUCCCUUGUUGGCAUGUCGGAGGAUGCACAGAAGGGACUGUGAUUACAAUGUAAUGAUUACAGGACAUCAGACUAGUUGUUCUUAUUGUUUAAUUACGAAAAAUUGUCAUAUAGAAAUAAAAACCCUGAAGUUGUUAAUUGCUAUUUAAACACUGUAUCUUGUCAUUCAACAUGUAUAUACUUGCCUGGAAAUUUCAACAGCUUUUCAUGUGUUUUGAAACUGGGUUUUUGGAGACCUCAAAUGUAAAAUUUUCUGUCUCUAAAGCACGCAAAAAUGUUCGGACCUUUUUCAUAGUGCAUGUUUGAGGAUUAUUUUUUCUAAAGAAAUAAUUAACAGUUCAGCGGGCUGCAUACUGAACUUAAAAAGCAAAGUAUUAAUCCAAUCGUGCUGGUAUCGAUCCGAUACCAAUGCUAGAGUUGUUAUCCAUAUUAUCGAUAUUUGGAUUGAUCCGCCCACCUCUAGUUGUUUCAUUCAAAUACAGUUCGUUUCUGUUGACCUUCCAGUUAUUGUUUUAAACUGCAUUAAAAAUUAUGUCACUGACCGGGUUGUUGGUUAGUUUCAGAGUAGGCUACAAAAUUCUUUAAAUAGUGAAAUGUAAAAAAAUGUAGCAAAGUGCAUUUUAUUCACCAAAUUUUGUUCUCAUACUCAACAGUUAACUUGUGCAUUACUCAUCACUGUUACUUGAGAGCACAAUAAAUAUGAGCCUGAAUGAAAAAUCUAGCUCUGUGCAAUUUGUCAGGUGAUUAGUAAUGCUGAUGAAGACUGUGUUGUGUUCAAAAAGUGAGUAAGAGGACCUUGAGUAAGUGAGCAGAAAUACAUUUUCUAUCCGGACAAACAAACUUGCAGAGGCUUUUUUAUUUAUCGCUUAAUAGUCACAGAUGACCAUGUCAACACAGUUAGAUACAAAGUGGCUAAUGAUCCCACAUUAUCUCCCAACGCGGAGGCAUCCUAAGGGCUGCAAAAUAAAAGCAUGUGUGGUCUCCUGAGAUGUAAAACACACUGUAGAUUGCAUAUUUCUCUACAGUUUGUGUAGCCUAUCAUCUUUUCAGCUUAUUUGGAAUGGUUAUGUCAGAGGUUGUUCACCUGUUGACCAGCAGAGGUUGAGCACUAUGUCCUGUUAAAGUUGAACUUAUGUAAAUGUGAAAAUUCAGAAGUAUCUUUUGUGGAAAAGUUCAAAUGAAACAAAUUUUUUUUGCAUCCUGAAAGUUUAUGUGCAAUAAUAGCUUUUGAAGAAAUCUGUGAGCAUGUAUUUCAGUUAUAUGUAAUAAAGCUCUUUGCUACAAUAAUUCUAGAUUAACAUCCCUUUAUAGAUACAGGGCAAGAGGCUUAUAAUCGCCAUAAUAUAAUACACUAUAUACAUCAAUCAGCUUCAUUUUUCACCACUAUUGAGCUUUCAGUGUCCUCCAAAAAGGCGCUUGCGUUUUCCGAGGCCAGCAGGAGGCAGUCUUGUUUAGCAGGAGAUGAUGAGGGCAUCAA